AUAAAUCAAAACAAAAUAAAAAAGAGAUUAUCGAUCCUUAACUAGGGAUUUUGGAAACCGAUCCUUAGCUUGGUUUCCAACCACGUGUCCACUCGACGUCUCCUCCGAUUCUCCGCCUCCAACCUUCCUCGUCGUAGUCUGCGGACCUUCCUCUCACCCAGCGGUUGUACACCACCAUAGACGAUGGAGACUUCUCGGAAGAAGAGUUUGUCAGAGCUCCUCUCGCACUCCUCUGAUUCCGCGGCGGGAGCUGAGGAGGAGGCGGCGGAGGAAGAGGCGGAAACUUGCCGUCGGUUACGAUCGCCUUGGGGUUGUCGAGUUUGAACAGGGAUCCCUUGGGGGAAACGUAACGGCUCUCCGGUGGAUCUAUGGAUCGUUUGAGAAACCGUCGGAGAAGAAGAAGGGGCAUGUGCUUCCCAUGGCCGAGAUAUAAUCCUCACUCAAAUUGAUCGAGAUAUCAUCCAACGUUGAAGAGUUGUGUUACUAUCCUCUCAAAUCUCUCCCCAACAAUGGUGACAGCGAUGAGAAAAUUGAACCUGAUCACCUUCUUGUUCUUGUACACGGCAUCUUAGCCAGGUAUGAUAUGCCUUUGCAUCUUGGUUCUUGUAUUAUAGAUGCCUCUCAUUCAGGUUGGGAUAGUAAAAGCUUGCAAGUAUUGUUGUAUCUGAAAUUUUGUUUUUAUCAUUCCUGCUACAUUCUGUUUUAUAGUCCACUUAAUGUAUAGGUAUGGGUUGUUCUAGUCUUGAACUUGAGUGUAUAAGCUGAUUAUCUGUCUCCAUAUGAUGUGAGAGAGAGAAUAUAGGUUAGACAAGUUGUCCAAAAGAGCAACAGCUUAAAGAAGAUUUCCUUUUUAGCACACUCCCUCGGUGGCUUAUUUGCCAGACAUGCUGUUGCCGUUCUUUAUUCAGCAGCAGUGUCACAAGCCAGUCAUGGUGCUACUCUCUCUAACUCUGGGAACUCACAUCUUCCGCGAGGUAGCCUUGCUGGGCUCGAGCCGAUGAAUUCAUUACCUUGGCAACACCUCAUCUAGGAGUGAGAGGCAGAAAGCAGGUUCUAUCCAUUUCCUGUUAUAAUAAUUGGAACUCAUCAAUUGUUUAGUAUGAUGUUAAAACGGUAGUUCUUUGGUCCCUCCCAUUUUUGGAAUUAUGUGACUGAUCAUAGAGGAAAUUGUAGUGUCCACUCUAGCUCAACCCCCAUAGCAAUUACUGAGUAAAAAGAAAACAAUUUUUUUUUUGAGGUUAAGAUUUCGCUAAAAGAAAAUCAAAAUGGAACAAUUGUUUGUAGAGAUUCACUAGAGAUGUUUUUGGCAGUUCAUAUAAUUUUAAUAAUUUUUUUUUAAGAAACCUUAAUUAAGAAACUCCCAUUGGACCACUCAAAAUGGGAGUUUCUUAACUAAAGUUCUUAGGUUACUUUUAUUAAUUAAAACGUCAUUAAGAAACCCAUUAGGGGUGAUAGAGAUAAUCAUGCUCUUAAAGACACUAAUAGCUUAGAUAAGCACAGACAACACACAACACACGUCAAACCAAUAGUUGCGUACAUCUUCCUCCUCUUUCUACUUGGAUGAGGAAGGUCUUGCGCCAUCAUCUUUGGCGUUAACCUCGUUGUCAUGUUUUUCGAGCGCAAGCUUGUACAUUUCACAUAGUGGCUGAUUCUCAACCUCUUUCAAGUGUUUGAAUCUGCUACAAAGAUACUCCCUAGCCUGAGUAGCACCAAUCUCCUUUUUUUUACCGCCUUCAAGUUCUCUGAGGAUUCUCUUCACCUCCUGUAGCUUAGUCUCCUCUUUACAUGUUCUCUUCUCCUUGUUCUUCAAUUGGACGAUAAAUUUAACUAUCAUCUCAAACCUAGUUGGCGGUUUGAUGACAUACAUCUCAUGCAGGUACGUGUCGACCAUGUUGGGCUUAACAGAGUGUUCACCAGUCAUUUCUCCUUCUCGAACCUCAACUUUCAGAAUUUUCUUGUUGCAGAAGACGUUGAAAACUUUUUCAUAACCCUCAACUUCGAUAGAACCAUCUUCAAGCAAACGGGGAGGAUCGAAGUUCGUGAGUACCAAUGGAGCGAGCUUUAUCGCAGUGUCAUAACCCAUAACCUUCCAAAAUUUAGAAAGCUCAAAGACUUUGGCUUCUUCAAGAGGAAUACGCGCAACAUGAGAGUGAGUAGUAUCCACGAUGUAAUGGACAGCCUUGGUAGCAAGCUCCUUAAGAUACUUUGACAUUUUUUUUGUGUUUUUUUUCUUUCUUUUUCUUUGAAAAUCGGAGUGGAGAUGGUGAAGAAGAAAGCUUGUAUGUUGUAUUUAUUUAAUAUCUCUACUCUAUUAUUUUUGGUUACGUUUGCUCAGUUUAGAUAGAUUUUCCCUAUUAGUGCUUGAAAACAGAUUAUGGAGCAGAUAAACAUAGUUUUCCAUAACUUUAUGUUUUAGGGUUUAAAAAUGUGACUUUUGGCCCAUGUAUUCAAACGUUAUAUCAAUAAAUUUUUGGUACUCUCCUA